rnacentral:rRNA from 1 species
AAUUCGAUUAGAGUUUGAUCCUGGCUCAGAUUCCCUUCUGCUGGCGGCAUGCCUUACACAUGCAAGUCGAACGGCAGCACGGGAGCUUGCUCCUGGUGGCGAGUGGCGAACGGGUGAGUAAUACAUCGGAACGUACCCAGGAGUGGGGGAUAACGUAGCGAAAGUUACGCUAAUACCGCAUAUUCUGUGAGCAGGAAAGCGGGGGAUCGCAAGACCUCGCGCUCUUGGAGCGGCCGAUGUCGGAUUAGCUAGUUGGUGAGGUAAAAGCUCACCAAGGCGACGAUCCGUAGCAGGUCUGAGAGGAUGAUCUGCCACACUGGGACUGAGACACGGCCCAGACUUCUACGGGAGGCAGCAGUGGGGAAUUUUGGACAAUGGGGGCAACCCUGAUCCAGCCAUGCCGCGUGAGUGAAGAAGGCCUUCGGGUUGUAAAGCUCUUUCGGCGGGGAAGAAAUGGCAACGGCUAAUAUCCGUUGUUGAUGACGGUACCCGCAUAAGAAGCACCGGCUAACUACGUGCCAGCAGCCGCGGUAAUACGUAGGGUGCGAGCGUUAAUCGGAAUUACUGGGCGUAAAGCGUGCGCAGGCGGUUUCGUAAGACAGACGUGAAAUCCCCGGGCUCAACCUGGGAACUGCGUUUGUGACUGCGAGGCUAGAGUACGGCAGAGGGGGGUAGAAUUUCCCGUGUAGCAAUGAAAAUGCGUAGAGAUGUGGAGGAAUCCCGCAGU